UCCUGGGUAGCUCAGCUGGUUGGAGCAUGGUGCUCAUCACACCAUGGUUGCAGGUUUGAUCCCUGUAUUGGACA